GGGGGUGCCAAGGUUUCGACGGGGAUUGGAAGCGAAGGUGGCAUGCCGGAGUGGGCUGGCUCCGUAAAAAAGCCCAACACUAAUAAACGCCGAUACUGACGUUAAUUACGCAUUAGCAGCUUAAUGCUGCUACGUCCUGAUCAUCAUUGCCUGUGUGGUGCCCGGGACGUUAAUUGAAGCGGGCUAGUUCCAGGGAGUGUCUGUGGCCCUGGGGCGAAAUUUAGCAGACUCGCCCUUUGAAAAUCCUGUCUGUGGGAGUUUCCCGGGGUUAAUUAAAACAUAGACUAAGCAUGUAGAGGCCUUACGUGAAAGGUUUUCGGACGCGGGUUCGAUUCCCGCCACCUCCACCA
rnacentral:tmRNA from 1 species